rnacentral:rRNA from 1 species
CCUACGGGUGGCAGCAGUGAGGAAUAUUGGUCAAUGGGCGAGAGCCUGAACCAGCCAAGUCGCGUGAGGGAGUACUGCCCUAUGGGUUGUAAACCUCUUUUGUCGGGGAGCAAAAGCCGGACGUGUCCGGCUGUGAGAGUACCCGAAGAAAAAGCAUCGGCUAACUCCGUGCCAGCAGCCGCGGUAAUACGGAGGAUGCGAGCGUUAUCCGGUGUUAUUGGGUUUAAAGGGUGCGCAGGCGGAUUUUUAAGUCAGCGGUCAAAUCGUGGGGGUCAACCCCAUCCAGCCGUUGAAACUGGGGAGUGAGAGAGUGCGAGAGGUAGGAGGAAUGCGUGGUGGAGCGGUGAAA